AUUGAACGCUGGCGGCAUGCCUUACACAUGCAAGUCGAACGGCAGCACGGGAGCAAUCCUGGUGGCGAGUGGCGAACGGGUGAGUAAUACAUCGGAACGUGCCCAGUAGUGGGGGAUAGCCCGGCGAAAGCCGGAUUAAUACCGCAUACGACCUGAGGGUGAAAGCGGGGGAUCGCAAGACCUCGCGCUAUUGGAGCGGCCGAUGUCGGAUUAGCUAGUUGGUGGGGUAAAGGCUCACCAAGGCAACGAUCCGUAGCUGGUCUGAGAGGACGACCAGCCACACUGGGACUGAGACACGGCCCAGACUCCUACGGGAGGCAGCAGUGGGGAAUUUUGGACAAUGGGCGCAAGCCUGAUCCAGCCAUGCCGCGUGCGGGAAGAAGGCCUUCGGGUUGUAAACCGCUUUUGUCAGGGAAGAAACGCUCUGGGCUGAUACCCCGGGGUAAUGACGGUACCUGAAGAAUAAGCACCGGCUAACUACGUGCCAGCCGCCGCCGUAAUAC
rnacentral:rRNA from 1 species